rnacentral:lncRNA from 1 species
GGGCUGCGGACAGGCUGGCAGCGGCGCGCGCGGGCUCCUCGGGCGGGCUCCAUGGCUGCGCCGCGGGCGGCACCAUCUCCGUGGCUCGCUCGUCACUCUCUCGCUCCAGGAGUGCGGCAGGCUGCGAGGUAGCUCUGAAGUCUUUAAGGAAUCAACAGUACCUAAAGAAUGUCACCGGACUUGUCCUGAUGGAGGCAGGAACACAAGGCUGAGAAGAAGAUCUUAAGACCCAUGGGCAAAGCAAGGAAAGAGAGUAUGGACUGAGGGGCCAUACCAUACCCUCCUUCUCCAUGUCAUCUGUGUGGCCUGGCUGAAGCUCCUAAAUCAUGGGGAUGAAAAACAUCAAGGACUUGUUUUUAUUUCCAUUGACCCCAUUUUAAUUGUAAAUGGUGAUUUUAAAAAAUCUG